CCCUGCGCGGCCGCUGGUGACUCACGGCGCCGCGCCGGGCCCCGGUUGGCUCGCCAGCGCCGCCCGCCCCUGCUUCCUCCUCCGCGGCACCUGCGGCCGCCGCGGCGCGCUCGCACAGCGGUUCGGUACGGUUCGGAGCGGCUCCGCUCGGCUCGGCGCGAGUGAAGCCCUUUUUGAAUUGUGUCCAUGACUCCGCUAAAGACAAAUCACACCACUGCAUGAAUAACGUUGGAGUGGAUUAUCUCUUGCAGUUCAUGUAACGAACAAGUGUCCAGGUCAUCCCAAUGGGAAGAUAAUUGAUGUAUCAGAGACUUGUUAAAGAAGUCAAGAUUUGUUUUCAUGUAACUGCAAUACAUCUGGGAAUAAUAUUUCUGGUGUGUGUAUAAAUGCGAAGAGAGCAGUUCCUACUGUUUGCCUCUCUGUAGCCCCUCUACCUCGUGGCCUCAGUGGCAGCAAGAGAGAGACUCUGCUGUCAUAGCCUGGCUUGUAUAUGGCAUUAGAUGCUACAGCACUGUUCUUGCAAACAUAUACUGCUUCAAGCAAGAAAAUUCUAUAGUGUGCAAGGGGGUUGACUGCAGUCCUCAGGAAGAUGGCUUAGUAUCCUAUGGCCUCCAUUUCUAAAUGAGUUACUGAAGCACUGGGAUUACUAAUUCACCCUCAGGUCUUAAAUCAGUGGGAUUUUUGCCUCCAGCUCCUCUGUUGACGGACAUGAUGUGAGGAUAUGUCUACAGUAUGCAACCUAAUCUAAUAAAAGGAAAGCCUCAUGGGUAGAAAAAGCAGCAGCUACAUACUAUGGGAUAGCAUCCUGCCUUAGGAUCACUUGCUAAAAUAUUUUCUUCAUUGUGCUCUGCCAACAAAGACAUUAACUACUCAUAAGAUCAUUGCAUGCCUGAACUGACAGUAAUCGAAGGAGGUAUAUUCAUGGCUGUAUUUUGCAAGUGCAGAGCCAGGAUCUGCAUUAGUGUCUUCAGAGGAAUAGUACAGAGCAUGAAAGAGAGAGAAUGCAUCCUUUGGGAAUAAUUUAUAAUAGGUAUGUGAAUGAAUGCUUCUGUUGAUGUGAUUUUGGGACAAAUUGGCCUUUUUUUUUUUUUCUUCUCUGCAAACUAUGUGGAGGUUUAUACUGUUGUUAAAAGUGCUCCUUACAUCCAUGUUCUCUGUUUAUUGGUGGCUUUAGGGGAAAAAAGACAACAAAAAACCAACUUUGCAUUCAUAAAGCACCUUUGCUGUGUUGUUUUCAGAAUACCUAAAAACCAGUAAAUUAAGACUCAAAAAAAGUCCCCCUUAUGGUUCCCAUCAUCAUCAUCUGAUUUGUAAAAAUGGGGCAGAAAAAACUGAUGUCUCACUGGUGAUUUUAAUGCAAAUUUUUACGAUUAUUUUUUGUUUAUCAUUAGUGCUACAAGAAGCAUGGGUAUUUCAUCUCUGAAGUAGGUUAAAAAAUACGUGUCUCUUUUGGAUGUAUUCUUCGCAAUGGAAAACACCCUGGAUACAAUUCUUGACUUGCCAACGUCAAUUGGAAUUUGCCAGCGGUUUUAUAUGUGGACAGGAUUUCCUCCUCGGUGCUACAAAUUAGUCAAUCUUCUUUGUAUAGUCACUCCUGCAUUUGCCCUGUUUGUGAAGAUCUAGCAUGUGUGAUUUGAGCACAAACACAUUUUAUUUAGUGUUACAGUGUUGGAAGACCACAAUAGUUAAAGCCAUCUUAGGAUCAGAACCUCACUUCAGUGGUGAUAGACCAUCCCUCUAACCACUGUGCCUGGGAUCAUCAAGCCUUCUCCCAGUUUGAAUUCACCUUUCCUGGGCUUGAUUGAACAGAAAGGAGAUUUACUGUCUCUAACCAAAAAAGCCAUGGAAUGAUAAUCCAGAGGAUCACACCAACUGUCUCUUGUGAGAGGAAAUGAAGGAAAGAAGUUGUUCUGGAAGGUCAUCUCUCCAGGCAUGCCACCCAGAGAAACAGGAAAAGAAAGUGGCUUUACUGCACCACACACGCACCUGCAGCUUUAAAACAACAUCCACUGCGAAGGAUGUGAUUCUACAUGAUCCCCAUAGGUAGCAUGACAAGACAGCAAACAGGGUAGAGCUGAAAGUAUUAACUGUCCUCACUCCAUGUCAAGGAUGGCUCAUCUACACAACUGCAAAAUGUAUGCAAGUGCUAGGUAUACUCAAACAUUUAGUACAUAGAAGUUUGUAAAAUUUUCAGUAGUCUUCAAGACAAGGCACUAUACUUAUAAAAACUGUAAAUCAGAGAAGCUUGAUAAAAACAUGGGUUGUUGCUACUGCUUCUCUGAGCAGCAGCAGGAUAUCCCCAGCACAAUAUUUGUUCCAGCAUGCAUGCUAACCUGUCUGCCCCUUCAUGGUACUGCUGGGAGGAUGCACACCUGAUGCAAUUUUAGCUGCAUUAUUUAAUGCCACCUUUCUACUUAGAGCACAAAGUGAAAUAGGAUACUGUGACUGAAACUGCUGAUAGUGACUUCCAGAUUUUUUAAUGACUGCUUGCCUUUCUUCUAUUCGGAGUCAGAGGCAAAGAGAGAAACAUCAUUUACCCUGGAGCCAAGCAAACCCCCAGGCCUGAAAUCAAGUAUUAUGUAUUACGUAUUAGGUAUGUAGUAAUUAGUUAUAUCAAAUGUGGGCAGAAGAGAUAUUAAAAGCAUUCAAACAUGCCGUUGGAGUCCUGGGAAGGUUUUAUUUUUCUCUUUCACAGUUUCCUGUCAGCUGUUGCAGGUUCUUCUGGACAUAUCACCAGAGAAUGGAGGAAAAAGUGGGAAAUUUUCCUUUAACUGUAGGCAGAAAUUGUACACAGUUUCCUUUCUUUUCUUAGAAAGCAAGCACUGAGAUGAUUCCCUCAUUUUAAAAUAUCCAGUUUAUCUGAAUACAUUUAUUUUCUGCUGCUGCAUUAUAUCUGCAUUAUGCAUUAUAUCUUCAUAUAAUAAUGCAUUGUACAUUAGAUGUUCAUAUAAAUCUUUUUCAGUACUGUUAAAUAAACUCACCAAAACCACUGCUAACAUCAGAAGUGAUGAAGAACCGCAGGUUGUCCAGAUGAAAUAGUUAUAAGAUACAUUCCAACUUGCAUCUUCAGGACUUUCUGUCUGCUUUACUACUUGUUGUAAAAUUCAUAAAAGGAAAAUUGGAAAGGCUAGAGACAAAUAUUCUAAUCUUUGUGCUUUGAAUAAAAAGAUCUGUUGUCUGUAAUUCCCAAACAUUCAGGAUGCUCUCUGCUUUCUGUUAUGCAAGCUAUUUACAACCUUCACAGAAUCACAGAAUGUCAGGGAUUGGAAGGGACCUCAAAAGCUCAUCCAGUCCAAUCCCCGUGUCAGAGCAGGAACACCCAGAUGAGGUUACACAGGAAGGUGUCCAGGCGGGUUUUCAUUGUCUCCAGAGAUGGAGACUCCACAGCCUCAAUGGGCAGCCUGUUUCAGUCUCUGUCACCCUCACUGAGAAGAAGUUUCUUCUGAAAUAUAAGUGGAGCAUUUUGUGUUCCAGUUUCAACCCAUUACCCCUUUGUACAUACAUUGUUCACGACGCCGAAUUAGUUUUCCCCCCCCCCAAAAAAAAAAAAAUCAGGAUAAGAUGUCCUGAUAGUUCAGUAAAAGGAGAGUUGCAUCUUGUCCUGAAAUUGCAAGUCCUAGAAAGCACCCCUGUGCCAGAGAAGGUCAGCAUGUUCCUGGGAGCUGUUUAUGGCAAAAAAUGUUUCCUGCAAUAAGGUUCACGUCUGAAUGCUGUGCCUAGUGUUUCCUAAAGGGACCAGGGGAGGGGGUCAGGCAACGCCACUCCUGUGACCUCUGCAAAAUUGUUUUUUCUGAUGAUAUCUUGUAAGCCUCACUGGUAUCAAGCCCUUAUGUCUGCACCAUUCCCAGGUGUCGCAGGCUGGAAGCCAGGCUCCCACCAGAGCUGGAUCCGCUCCCUCCACUCAGAACCUCCCUGCAGCCCCAACUGCAAGGGGCACCUUGGUGACCACUGCUCCAGUGAAGAGCAUCCUCCCUGCUGGGGCUCCAUUCUGCAGAAAUCUGGGGUGUUUUUGCUAUUUGUUUCAGCUUGGCUUUUGUCAUAAAUCCUUAGGCACUUUGGAUUUGCCACUGCCAUGCUGUUCCCCACAGCUUUGUUCUUCUCUGCGUUCAGCUUCCCACUGGUGGCUGCAGUGCCAUGUCUCACCUGGUCACCCUUGUGGAAAUUUGGGCAGCUCCACACCACCCCCACACUGAUAGCACUAUGGAGCAGGGCAGAGCACCCCUGCUGUUCAGAAGAGUUAAUGAGGCCCUCUGUACCUGGUUACAACUCCACAUGUCUUCCCAGCUCAGGUGAGCUGGUGGCUCUGUGGAAGCUUUUCCAAGACACUGAGCUUAAUCCUGCUCCCAGUGAAGCCAGCAGUGAAACUGAUCACAACUUUGGUACCUGCAUGGCUGGAUCUGCUGUAAAGGAGGAUGCAAGAGGCAAAGCAGGUUCAAAGUGCCCAGCAAAAUCCUGUGAAGAAGCAUACUUCUUUCAUAAACUUGUGAGAGGAUAUAACUCUUAUGCGAAUGGAAAGAUAUGAGUUAUACAUUUGUGGGGAGCAACUAGUUCUUGUAUGGUAGAAAUACUUUGAGAAUAUAUGGGUUCAUUACAAAAAUUAUAUUCAUCCUUCCUUUCCCGGAGAAGCAAUAUUUCAUUUUGGCCUUACAGAUCGACCCUAUGUGGCUUUGAGGGUGUAGCCUUGUUAAUAUAUGCUGAUUGAAAGCUGUCUCCAAGAAGAAACGUGCAAUAAUGAGCCUCCUCGUGCUCCUUCUCUCACCCAGUAUUUUUUGGAGCUCUGGGAGUAGCACUGAGUAAAAUCAGAUGAAAUUUAAAACAUCUGCCACUCUCUCUGUUCCUAAACCAGCAGAAACAGAAAGAGCUCAGUUACUUAAUACAUGCAGUGCUUUACCAUUAUGCAAACACAAACUUCUCCCUGUGUUUGUUUCUGAGUAAAGAGGGCUGGACUCACCAGGUGAUCCAGCAGAUGAUGUUUUAGUGUGCAUCACACAGCUCUGUGGGAUCACGGUGAGAGAGGGAGAGAACAUUCCUUGUUUCUAUCAUUUCUGAUGUUACACCAGCCUUGUCUGGAACUAAUUUGAUUCCUGGCUCUGCCUGUCUCUUGUAUUAACAUCCCCAGUGGACCAAGAAAUACUUGAAUCCAAAAAAAGGUUUGGGUUAGAGGUUUUGGCUUCUUUCAUUGGAACAACUUUUAUCAAAUAGUGGUGGGGCUAAGGGUGGGCCUCUGACUUUCCAAUACAGGCCAGUCUGGUGCCGACAACAUGCCAGCUGUUGCAGAACCCAUUUAUUGCUCCAGAGCUACCUGCAAAUUAAUAGCACUGAUUCCUGUGUGUGAUCAGAAAUACACCGCACAGAGCAGUGACCGUAAGACACAAAAGAGUCAAACACCCUGGUCUUCUAGCUAUUGGCUGGUCAGUUGCUGAUAAAGAGUAUUUUAAAACACUAACCUUUUGCUGUAACUCCUUAACAAACAAAAGCCAUCAAAUUUGUCCUUCCUUCUUUUUAUUCCUAAAGAUGUCAGUGUUAGUAGAGAGAUUAUUAUGCUUACAACAGACUCUUAAAAUCUUUGAAGACACAAUAUUUUAUCUUUUUAAAGCCACUGGGUAGCACUGAAUAGGAACCAUUAUCCAGCAAAGUAUAUUUUCACCGAUGUCUGACCUUGCAAUCCGUUGCUCCCACAAGGUUCUGUUGUGCUUUGAUUAUCUCUGUAGCCUUGCUUGUGUGAGUGCAAAGGUGGCAGUUCCCCUCACUUUGGCAGUGAAGGAAUAACACCAGCUGUGGAAAAAAAAAAAAAAAAGAAAAAAAAAAUUAAUGAGUUUAGCUCCACCAUUUUUAUACUGAAUUACUUUCUGCCUAGAUCUACAGGGUCUCUGAGACUUCCAAUGGAAAAAAAAAAAUAAAAUGGGAUUAAGCUUAAAAAAACCCCAGUGAUAACCUAAAAGAGGUCUAUUUUCAGGUUAUUUCUGUUGCUGGACUACAGUACAGUGAAUAAGUGCCAGUGACACACAAACACACUAGUCUAGAACAAUCUGAAACAAUACUGUCCAGAAAGAUUAUCACUGGUGCUGAUGCAGGGUGGUACUCAGGACUAAACCAGCUCCUAGGUGCUGGCUGGUAGCACAGCAUGAGUGCAUCCUGACUCUGAGAAGGGGAAGGCCCAGGUCUGAAAAGAUGUAGUCCAAGGAAAGCAUAAGAAGUCAGUGACCUGUAAAUAGUGACACCCAGAAAUAUAGCUGAGACUGGAAACAGUAAUUCCCUCUUUACACCCAGUGUGUUAACUGCCAGUAUGCACUAAAUCUAAAGACACAUCUGAAGGAGGAUAUGACAAUGUGCUAAAAAUUAGUGAAAUUAGGAUGGAGAGUGCUAGCAGCUGACAUAAUAGGGAGAAGUUCUUUGUGUUCCCACAUCCAUCAAAAGCACAAAAGUUCAAGUGUCUUUUUAAAGUCUUCUGCAUAUAGAAGAUUUUCCCAAAGCAUUUUGAUUGCUAUAGCUGUUAAUCCAAAUCACAGAUGAACACAGAAACAAGUUAGUGCAGAAGGAUGAAUUAUACAAAUUGAAUUAUACAACAUGACCUGGCAAUGUGCACUUGCAUCCCAGAAAACCAACCGUGUCCUGGGCUGCAUCAAAAGAAGCGUGUCCAGCAGGUCAAGGGAGGUGAUUCUGCCCCUCUGCUCUGCUCUGGUGAGACCCCACCUGGAGUACUGCAUCCAGUUCUGGGGCCCUCAGCACAGGACUGACACAGACCUGUUGGAGAGGGGCCAGAGGAGCCACAGGAAUGAUCAGAGGGCUGGAACAGCUCUGCUGUGAGAAAAGGCUGAGAAAGUGAUGGUUGUUCAGCCUGGAGAACAGAAGGCUCUAGGAGAAACUUAUAGCAGCCUUCCAGUACCUAAAGGGGACCUACAAGAAAGCUGGAGAGGGACUUUUCACGUGGGCAUGUAGUGAUAGGACAAGGGGUAAUGGCCUUAAACUGAAACAGUGUAGAUUUAGAUUAGAUAUAAGGAAAAAAUUCUUUACUAAGAGGAUGGUGACACACUGGAAGAGGUUGGCCAGAGAAGAUGUAGAUGCUCCAUCCCUGGAAGUAUUCAAUGCUAGCUUGGAUGAGGCUUUGAGUAGAGGCUUUAGUAGAAGGUGUCUCUCCCCAUGGCGGUGGGAGGGGGUGCGGAACUAGAUGGUCUUUAGGGUUCCUUCCAACCCAAACCAAUCUGUGAUUCUAUGAUGUGGUUUUUGUAGCUAUACAUCUUCUCCUAUAUCACCUGGCCAGCUGUGGACACAUGUGAUGAGACAGCUUGCAACAAGAAGCCAGACAAAUACACCCUUAUUUCAGAGCUGAGCCUUUCAGAGAAAUGGAUGCUAGUUCAGUAAAAGGGGCAAGUCAAGGAGACUGAAAACUUUCGCAACAAGUGUUUUUCCCCUUUCCUUCAGCAAAGACAUGCAGAGAAUCACAGGUGAGGCAGGUGCCUUCACUUCACGCAUUUUUCUAACCCUGGGGUCGCAGUUUGCAGAGGAGAAGGUCUUGGUGUGCCUGUGCAAAACAAUGGCAAGAAGCAGCAGUCCAAAUACAGCAAGCAAAAGAACUGAACCUUUGUUGCGUUUGCCUGCAGGGUACAGUAGCAUGGGUGCUAACAGUACUGCCACAGCCAGAACUCAUUCAUUUGGUGCCUCAUGCUGUGUAGUUGCAUGUUUAAGAGCCAGUAUAGCUUCACAGUCACUCAAAAGUCCUCCUUGUGUAAUUCAUAAAAUAAUCUUAAUCUGCCAUCUUGAUACCCCUUAUCUCAUAUCCUCCAGGAGACAUUAAAAUAGAAGAUCCCUUGUAGGAUUGCAUGGCUGCUUUAAUAACAUAAAACAAAUUUAAAUAUUCAGAUAAUGUCAGUAUUGUUUAUUCUUUUCCUUGUUUAGGCUUCAUGCUUGUUUUCUAAGGCUACUUAGCACCGGUAAAAUAUGCAGGCUAACUGCACAUUUUCUAAAUGCAGAACCAUAGACAUGAGCUUUCACUUAUGUCUGUAGCAGGAUUUCAUUUCAAAUUUGGGUAUCGAGAAGUGAAAUGUUUGCCCUCCACAAAGAUCAAAACACAGAUGUCAUCUUGCCAAAUACAGAGAAACCAUAAUCAAAAAUGCAUAGAUUUCAUAGAUUUCAUUGUACCUAUUUGCACCUUGAAAGCAACAUUGUUGUGCCAAAAUGGAGCUUUUCAGCCCUUACACAAUGUCACAUUCUGCCUAUGUGAGUGAGCAGUGGUUAUGUGUGGAGCUCUGCCUGAGCACAGCGAAAAGGCCACCUGAGACCUUAUAGAUUAGAGGUCUGAUCAAUGUGGGUGAUAUUGCAGUGGGUGUCUGCUGUGGAGACCACCUGCUCAGGAGGAAGAAAUAGACAAGGGAUUUCUUAAAACAACUGCAAGAAGCCUCACAUUCAGAGGUCCUGAAAAGCUGAACUACCCUGAUACCUGCUAGAGGGGUAAAACAUCAGGGCACAGGCAGUCCGGAAAGUUUUGAAUUGUGCCAACAGCAAAUUCUUGACAUAGGUGAUCAAGGAACGAAGCAGAAAAGAUGAUUUGCUGGUCCUCAUGUUUACAAACAAGGUCAGCAUUGUGAAGACUGGGGCAGCCUUGGCUGCAGUGGCCAUGAGAUUGUCAAGGUCAGGAUCCUGAGAAAGAAUAACAGAGCAAACAGCAAGAUGAUAACCCUGGACUUCUGGAGAGCAGACUGUAACCAGAGACUGUCCAGAGAUCUGCUUGAAAAAAACUCAUGUGAGACAGCCCUGGAGAGAAGAAGAGACAAGAAGAGCCAGUUGACUUUCAAGGAUCACCUCCUCCAAGCACAAGAAUCACACAAGAAUCAUCCAUACCAACAAGCAGAAACAGAGCAAAGCGGGCAGGAGGCCUGCAUGGAUGAGUAAGGAGCUCCCAGCUAUGCUCUGACAUAAAAAGGAGGUGUACAGGAGGUGGAAGGAGGAGCAGGCGACCCAGGAGGAAUACAGAGAUGCUGUCUGACCAUGGAAGGGUGGGUUCAGGAAAGCCAAAGCUCACCUGGAGUUGAAUCUAGCAGGAGAUACAGGAGUGAAAAAGAAAGAUUUUUACAGGGUCCUCAGGAGUAAAGGGCAUCCUAGACAAAAUGUGGGCUUGUGACUAUGCAGAACAGGUUUUUGAUGGCAAAAAAUACAGAAAGGGCCAAGUUACUCUCUUCCUUCUUUGCCCCAGCCUUCAGGAAUCCUAGGUCCCUGAGACCAGGGGAAAAACCAAGGUGAUGUAGGCUUGCCCUUACAUGUGGACAAUCAGGAUAGGAAGCUUUAACAAAGUGGACUUACACAAAUCCACAGUCAAUGGGAUGCGCUGAGUACUGAGGGGCAUGUCUGAUGUCCUUGGUUGUAGAGUCUCCAGCAGUGGAAUAAUGCAAAAUCCUGCUGGAUGUGGACCUCAGCAACCUGCUCGAGCUGGCCCUGCUUUGAGCAGGAAGAGUGAAGUAGAUACCCUCUAGAAAAGGUCUGUUCCAUGUUCAGCCCUUCUGUGAUCCUGUAGGGACAGAGUAAAUAGUGCUCCAGCUGCUCAGAGCUCCAGCCCUGCCACAGCUGUCCUAACAGGAGGGAGCACCUCUCCUUCAGGCAGGGCUGCUGAUCUAGGCUUUUCCCAUUAUGACUGCACCCAGGGAGGCCAGGUAAAGAAGACGACAAUGAAGAGCAUUCAACAAGGUUAAGAAAACCAAUUCUCUCAAUUUCUGGCACAUCCCAUGGAAGCAGAGAUACAUCAGGCUCUUUGUAAACAAUCAUCUGUGCUUCGAGUGUAACCCAACUGUUAAAUGACAGCAGUGAAGAAGAAACUUUGUCACUGGGCAGCUGCCUCCAUAAUUGCCAGUUACUGGGGCUGCUGCACUUUCCUUUGAAGCACCCCACAACUGGGUGCUGGCAGUGAGCCAGGGAAAGGAUGCUAAGAUGCUAAUCUGUUAAUCAUGAGGUGCAGGAUAUCAAAUUACAUUUGUUACUUUUAGUCCGGAUUUAAAGACUGACUAUUCUAUAAGCCCUUAAGUGUUAUCUGGAAGGAAAAAAAAAAAAAAAAAAGAAAAAAAAAGAAGAAGUUUUCCUAUGUUUUCUAACUUUUGUAUGAAUUUGGAAAGGAAAAUGACCCCCCUUCCAUUCACUGUCCCUCCCAUUUUAUUGUUGAAUUUAUACAAAUAUGUCCAGCAUGUUUCUGUUGCUAUAUCUACUUACUCUCCAGCCUCUCAUCUUCUCAGCACCUUCUCAUCUUUUCAAGCAGUCAUGGAACAGUGAUCUCCUGAGUCUCCCACAGCACAUGGGUUACAUGAGCCAGCUCCUCAGACACUGCCUCACGUAACUGCCAUGACGGCCAAUGCCCCGGCUGUUUGGGGUGAAGGCAGGGGAAAACGUAUAUUUCUUUCUAUAUGAGUCACAGACCUUGGGUUCUGUAAAGUCAGCAGUGAUGGAGUUAAACAAGAUUGUGAAAGCAGAUUUUUUUUCAGAGCUCAGGCUAUGUUUGCAGCUUAAAAGCAUACUGUAGCUUUGAGGAGAGUUUUUCAUUAUUGGACAGGAUCCAGCAUCUCACCAUCUAUGUUACAGUUUCCUCAAAGGCAGGCAGAUUAUAAGGAAAUAGCAGCCACAUCUGUGGCAGCUACAUUUAUCCCAUCUGCUUUUAUUUUAUCAACUGGGAAAGUAAAACCCUAGUCAUCACACAAGUCUGUUUUGUAAGGAUUAGGGCAAAUAACUCCGCACUGACAAAACAUACACAUAGUUGUUUUUUCCUUCUGGAUGAGACAUUUAAAAAUUACAUUUUCAGUGGAUUUAAUUACAGUUAAAAGUUUUCACCAUUUAUUCCAAGUCAUUAUAGUGCUUACAAGCUUAAUUCAAGAAGUUCUGUGCUCCCUUGCCCAAGUAAUUUUUAAAGCAGGCUAUUAAAAAACAUUACCACACAGUCGUCUUUAAAACAGCAUGGGUCUGGAUGCCCCAAUUUUACCUUUGCUCAGGUCACUGUUAUUAAUGCCACCAGGCGAAGGCAGGAGGCUGGUGUGGACAUGGGGAGUGAGGAAGAAAAGCAAAUGGGAGGAGCAGGGGGACAGAAAAUACAUCUCCAUAACACAUUUUCUCCUGUCUCUGAGACAUGUAAUGGGUAUCAUCACCAGUAACCAUAUCAUGCAGUUCUGUUUAUAAAGUGACCAGGCACUUUCCUGUGAUCUCAUUACACUAUUAACCUAAGUGCACCCAACCUCACUUGUCUGGAAGGUAGAAACCUUUCAUUUCUGGCUUAGUUCUGCAGGCAGUACCCAUUUGUUCCCAUGCCAACAUUGACUGAUUGUUUUUUUCUCCCUCUUAUGUUUUUUUUUUUUAAUUGUUCCUGUCUCCUCCUUCUUUUCUCAGUAUUUCUCUAGAGAAGUCAUAAACUCUAAUAAAACAAAGAUUUUACUAUACUAAACAAGUCAAAGUUGCUUAUGUCCCCCCUUCCUAAUCAUUUUACCCAUCUCUUGCUAUACCUUUUUCAGUUUAGGUGAAUCUUUCCUAAGCAUGGACAAUGAGAAAUUUGCACAUUGUGCUGGGGAAAUGUUGUCAAUGCCUUGUAUAAUAACAUUAAUAUGUUCUUAUCUCUUCUGGAACUGAUCGCACAUCAGAGAGUUUUUGAUCUCCCCAGGCACAGAGAAGCUGCAUCCUUGGCACUAAAGCACAGUGCAUUCAGGUCUUACUCACUGUGUCCUACAUGGAGUACAUCUGAAAGCCCUUUCAAAAGGAUGCCAGUGUCACUGUACCCAGUUUACAAAGGCAAUUCAGGCAAUGAAAUAGCUUGCCCAAAGCUCCACAGCAGACUGAUAGCCAAAAUUAAAUGAAAACUAUGUAUGCCUUCACCAACAAAUGUUUUGUUGCAAAGGUUGCAAAGAGAGAUCAGACAGGCCUUUUAAUCUAAAGAUUAGGAAAAAGAAGGUGAAAUAUUAUAACUGAGGAGGAUGGAAGACCUUUCCUGUGGAUAAAACAGGAAGUUACUCUCAUAUGAAAUUCUGUUGACAUUAUAUCCAUAACACUUUUGGAAAAAAAAAAAAAAAAAAAAAAAAAAAGAAGCAAAAAACAAAAGAG